UGGGGAAUAUUGCACAAUGGGCGGAAGCCUGAUGCAGCAACGCCGCGUGCGGGAUGACGGCCUUCGGGUUGUAAACCGCUUUCACCAGGGGCGAAGGCAUCCUUUUGGGGUGUUGACGGUACCUGGAGAAGAAGCACCGGCUAACUACGUGCCAGCAGCCGCGGUGAUACGUAGGGUGCGAGCGUUGUCCGGAUUUAUUGGGCGUAAAGGGCUCGUAGGCGGUUGAUCGCGUCGGAAGUGAAAACUUGGGGCUUAACCCUGAGCGUGCUUUCGAUACGGGUUGACUUGAGGAAGGUAGGGGAGAAUGGAAUUCCUGGUGGAGCGGUGGAAUGCGCAGAUAUCAGGAGGAACACCAGUGGCGAAGGCGGUUCUCUGGACCUUUCCUGACGCUGAGGAGCGAAAGCGUGGGGAGCAAACAGG
rnacentral:rRNA from 3 species